CCAAUUUAACUUGGCAAAUUAACUUAGAUGCUUCAAAAUUGAAAACCAGUAUAUUCUAAUGUAGUUUGAAUUUAAGUCUUUAUUAGUAAGGAUGCACUUAACAUUUGUUCAGGAGAAGGGAAUAGAAUUUUCUCCUGCAGUUGUCAUUUGCGUAAUUCAUUUUUCUAGCCUUUUCUCAGGCUAAUGAUAUUCCACACCUUGAUAGGGCCUUUAUUUGUUUAUUUGCCAUAAUAUAGGGUGAUACCUUGGAGAAAAUUAAAUUAGAUGUUCAUAUUUAAUAUCCCAAAAGUAUUUGACUUGUCUUCUGUGUUUCCUUAAACAGAAUCAUUUCCAUUUCCUGUGCAGGUGAUAAGUAUGAUGCUUCCAUAAUACAUUUGGAUGUUUUCAGCUACGUUUGACUUCUGAGCCGUGGGGUUCCUCCACAUGUUGGCUGAACUUUGUCCUUGCACAUCUCCAGGCUCAUCUGCAAGUCUUACGGAGAGGGGGUUUCGUGUAUGACCAAGAGCUGGAGCAUUACGGCAAGUUAGGAAAUGAAUAACACAAGUAUAAAGAAAACGAAUCUCCAGUUCAUAAUGGAGCUACCGUACUGACUAUUGGAAGGAGGAGAUCCUGAAGAUAGAGAGGUUGGCUUGCUGCUUACUUUGCAGCUGUUGCAGGGAUUCACAUGGAAUGGAGGACUCUGUAUUACUCUGGAUGAUAUUUUUGAUAAUUUAUUCAUGUGCUGUUUCAUUUUCAAAAACCUAACAUUGGUGUUAAAGAAUGAAUCUAAGAUUCUUGAAGAAAAGCUGCUGUCUUCCCACGCUAUGCAGAUUCAGCUAUCGGUCUGAAAUUUCCUGUGGUCUGUUCAAUCUAGAUGCAAAGGACAUGGAAAAAUCAAGUGCUCAAGUGCUUUAAAUAUGUUUUGGAUGUUCCUAUUUAUAGACUAUAGUAUUUUCCGAUUAAAAUUCUCAGUUGUCCUUCAGAAGAAGGUUAUGCACUUCUUGAUUAUUAGUUUUAAAUGCUUAGUUUUGUAGAGUAUUUCCACACAUUUUCUGUUGUAAUCCAAGUAAAGGAAAAGAUCAAUUCUAUAUGUUGACUUUUUUUCUAAAAUGUCUUUAUUGGGUUGAAUGAAUGUUUAUACCUGAAAAAGUAGUCUCCAGAAAAAUCCCUUUCUCCAUCAAAGAAAUUCUUCUGGCAAUCCAAUGAUUAGAACAGGUUUAAAAUCACUCUUUAAUGUGACCGUGUUAUAUUUGGGGGAGAGGAAAGACUUGACAUGUAUAUAUAUGUAUGUAUUUUAAUUCUCUACAUUCACUACCUCUGGAAUAGAACAUUUUCUCCUCAAUAAAUCUAUUAGCUCAACUCACAUACAAGAAACAAUCGCCUUAAUUGGCAGAGCAUUCGUUAUAGGUUUAAAUAUUUGAUUUGUGUAAUGAAGGAUGACAUCCAGUUUUCACAGAGUUCUUACAUUUAAGUAGACUGAACACGGCCGAGUUGCCUCGCCACUGGGAGAUUCCUUCUUGUGGCCUUUGCGGUGGCUGUGGGGACGCGGAAGGAUUCCUCUGUGGCAGGCAGGCCUCUGGCUUCUGGUGUGAACACUGCAAAGGAGUGAGUCUGACCAGAGACAGCCCUCAGCUCGGGGCCUGGGGAGGUUCACAGAUGCGGGUGCCGCUUCUGGAGACUGCUCCAUCCACUUCUAUAGUUCUUACAAAGAAUCACAGCGCUAUGAUGGAUUACUAAGCUCAGAUCGUAAUAUGACAAAGUGGUUUUAUUAGGCUAGAGUAUUUCUUUUUAUUUUUAUAUUUAAUUAAACUCUGUAUUUUGAGAUGAUUAUAGAUUUCACAUGCAGUUGUACUAAAUAAUGGAGAGAUGCCUUGUACCCUUUACCCAGUUUCCCCCAAUAGUAACAUCUUACAAUAUAUAGGACAGUAUCCCAACCUGGACAUUGACAUUGACACAGAUACAGAACAUUUCUUUCAUCACAAGAAUUCCUCAUAUCGCCCUUUUAUAUUCAUACUCACUCAUUUUCAACCCCUCUACCUAACCCUAACAACAACUAGCCUCUUCUCCAGUUCUAUAAUUUUGUCUUUUCAAGAAUGUUACAUAAGUGGAAUCAUAUAGUAUGUAAUCUUUUAGGAUUGACUUUUCUCACUCAGCAUAAUUUUCCAGAGAUUUAUUUUGCACAUAUCAACAGUUUGUUCUUUUUGAUAUUUGGGUGGUAUCCUAUGAGUGACUGGCCUGUGUUUUGUAGCCAUUCACCAGUUGGGGCAGGAUUGCUUCCAGUUUUUGACUAUUAUGAAUAAAACUGCUAUAAACAUUUGUGUACAGGUUUUUGUGUGAAUGUAAGUUUUCAUUUUUCUGGGAUAAAUGCCCAGGAGUGCAAUUGUGGUUCAUAUGAUAAUUACAUAGAGUAUUUCUUUUUAAGAGUAGAAUUAAUGUUUUGUGUGUGGAAGGGAAGAUGGAGGACAUCUACAUUUUUGCAGUGUUUUUGCUUUAACUGGAUUUGCUUAGGAUUUUAAAACAUGCAGACUCUCAUAAAUAACUUAUAGCCAGCAUCAGAAAAAAUUUUCAACAGUCUAUUUUUUUAAUAAACAUACUUCUUUAAAAAUUGUUUUUUCUUUGGAGGUAAACAAUUCCUAUGUAAGGAAGUAAAAGGAGACAUAUAUUAUAGAAAAGGUGUUGCAAAGUGGACAGGUUGCUUGGAGAAAUUGGGAAUUUCCCAAGUGUUAAUAAAAACAUUCAAGGAUA